UACGAAGGGGGCUAGCGUUGCUCGGAAUCACUGGGCGUAAGGGGCGCGUAGGCGGCGUUUUAAGUCGGGGGUGAAAGCCUGUGGCUCAACCACAGAAUGGCCUUCGAUACUGGGACGCUUGAGUAUGGUAGAGGUUGGUGGAACUGCGAGUGUAGAGGUGAAAUUCGUAGAUAUUCGCAAGAACACCGGUGGCGAAGGCGGCCAACUGGACCAUUACUGACGCUGAGGCGCGAAAGCGUGGGGAGCAAACAGG
rnacentral:rRNA from 1 species